UACGUAGGGCGCAAGCGUUGUCCGGAAUCAUUGGGCGUAAAGAGCUCGUAGGUGGUCUGUUACGUCUGCUGUGAAAUCCUAGGGCUUAACCCUGGGCCUGCAGUGGAUACGGGCAGACUAGAGGUAGGUAGGGGAGAAUGGAAUUCCCGGUGUAGCGGUGAAAUGCGCAGAUAUCAGGAGGAACACCAAUGGCGAAGGCAGCUCGCUGGGACGUGACUGACGCUGAGACGCGAAAGCGUGGGGAGCAAACAGG
rnacentral:rRNA from 1 species